CUACCCGGGUUUCUAAUCCUGUUUGCUCCCCACGCUUUCGCACCUCAGCGUCAAUACCAAGCCAGUGAGCCGCCUUCGCCACUGGUGUUCUUCCGAAUAUCUACGAAUUUCACCUCUACACUCGGAAUUCCACUCACCUCUCUUGGAUUCAAGCGAUGCAGUCUUAAAGGCAAUUCUGGAGUUGAGCUCCAGGCUUUCACCUCUAACUUACAAAGCCGCCUACGUGCGCUUUACGCCCAGUAAUUCCGAAUAACGCUAGCUCCCUCCGUAUUACCGCGGCGGCUGGCAC
rnacentral:rRNA from 1 species